rnacentral:rRNA from 1 species
AUGUCAUAUGGCAUUGAGGACAUCAUCGAUGGCUUCAUGCGCUCUGUUCGGGCAAAAAGUGAAACCGAUGAUUUUGAAAGGAAGACUGCGCGACUCCUUAAAAAGUUGAGAGCCCACCACCAAAUUGCCGGACGGAUCAAUGAGAUCAAGUCACUUGUGCUUGAGACAAGUGCACGGCACCAAAGGGAGAAGCAAUUGAAGGUGGCAUCGAUUGUGGGAUUUGGAGGUCUACGCAAAACUACACUUGCCAACGUGUACUACCAGCUAAGAAAUGUGGUUAGUUUUUCUUCGGAGAAAGGCCAUGAGGUGGGCACCAUGAGGUGGUGGGCUGGCCAGCAAGGGCUUGAGCCUCACUUCUGUCUAAUUAAAUCUGAAAAUGAUCUUGGCAGCAGACUAAUAGCAACUACAAGAAUUCAGGAUGUGGCUAAGGCUUGUAGCUCUUGUCGACAUGAUUACAUUCUACAGAUGAAGCCCCUUAGCAAUGAAGAUUCGAGAAGAUUGUUCUUUGGUAGGAUGUUUGACUCGGAAAAAGCCUGCCCUCACCAGAUUGAAGAUAUUUCAGUUGAAAUUCUCAAAACAUGUGGUGGUUUGCCUCUUGCGACUAUCAUCAUAUCAGGCAUGUUAGCGAGUGAAGGUUCCAACCAAGUGGAGUGGGAACAUGUACGGAAUUCUUUGGGCUAUGGUACAAAUGUCACGCUGGAAGGGAUAAGGCAAAUCUUAAACCUAAGCUACAAAAACUUUCCUCCCCUUCUCAAGACAUGCUUGUUGUAUCUUGAUAUAGUUCAUCUGCCAGGCUUGUUGCUUCUGAAUCUGGAUUUUGUUCGAGGGUUUCCAUGUCCAGGGCGUCAUGAGUCUGACGGGAUGGGGAAAAUUAAGUCCCUGCAAUAUCUACAUGCAUUUGAUUUGGAGAAGAAUUCACUAGAUAAUGUCGAGGGCCUUGGAGAGUUGAACAAUCUGAGAAAUCGAACAGUCAACAUGAAUGCUUUUUCGGCCGACAGAGAAAGACGUAUGGAUGUUCUAUGCUCUUCUUUGGGAAAAAUUUGUGCCAACCUGGAGUACCUGAGUUUUGAUAUCAUGGGCAGCACGGAUGCCAUGAUGGUUGAUGAGCUGCCCAAGGACGGUGUUGGUAUUCUGGCCGAGCUGCCCUCCCUCACUGACCUUGCUCUAGAAAUCCAACUGCCAAAAAGAGGACUGACGGUUAUCUAUGGGAGGGCAUUCCCUGUUCUAAAGCGCUUCAAAUUACAUAUUGGCAGUGCGUUAUACCUGACCUUCCAGGCUGGGGCAAUACCCAUGCUCCAGAGGUUCAGUGUAGAGUUCUAUGCCAAAGGAUCGGAGCAGGAGGAAGCUGUACUAGCUGGCUUUGAGCACUUGUUAGUGCUUGAAGAACUGUUGGCCGAAAUCCUCAGCUUAGAUGCUACAGAAUCUGACAUGAGCAAGCAGCUGGAAAUGGGGUGUACCUCAAUUCUGGCAAUUGGAACAACACGGUGUGGACAACAUCGGGGUCAGCGCAUGCAGAUGAGCCAGCUGGAAGACCAAGCUAAAGCUUUUCUUCUUUUCUUCGUCCGGCCUCAUUUGAUCCCUUAUGUCAACUUGAAUAAUUCUCUCAUCGAGUUCCAUGUUGCCUCUCGAAGCCGAAGGCAAGUUUUCACCCAGAUCAGUUCGAAGGAAUCCAACUCUCGUGCACGGGCCGCCGUCAUCACCAUCACCACCAGGCAGACCCUGGAGUACCGGCAGAUCAGCGAGCCACCGGCACCACCGCAUCCAGAUCGCCGGCCACGCCGGGCCGCCGCCAUCCCCCGCGCCGUCCGGGUCAGAGACGGAGCUGCUGAUCGCGCACAGGGACCGCCGCCGCCUGCACACGCCAGAGCGCCGCCGAGAUCCCAGCGCCCGCCACCGCUUGCCGACGCCAACCUCCGCCCGAGCACUGGCGCCACCGUGGAGCCAUCAGAUCGGGGAGGGAGACGUCGCGCGCCGACCACCCUCGCGGACCCCGCCGCACGCCCGAGCGCCGACGCCACCGCGGCGCCAUCAGAUCGGGAGGAGGAGGAGCCUGCGCCUCGCCGCCCCGCGCAGACCACGCCGCCGCCAUCACCGCAGAGCCACCAAAGGGGAGCCCCGCAGAUCCGCCGGCGACCCGACCUGCCGCCGAGCCGAGCGCCGCCGCGAGGGCCGGCCGUCCCGCGCCGCCCAGGAGCCUCGCAAGGAGGGAGGGAGCCCCGCCGCCGCCGACGCACGCGCAGGCUUUGCCCAGCGGCGUCCCCUGGCGGCGGCGAGGGAGAAGGAGGGCGAAGGAAGGGAGCGGCGGCGGUGAUCUAG